UGGGGAAUAUUGCACAAUGGGCGAAAGCCUGAUGCAGCGACGCCGCGUGAGGGAUGACGGCCUUCGGGUUGUAAACCUCUUUCAGCAGGGACGAAGCGCAAGUGACGGUACCUGCAGAAGAAGCACCGGCUAACUACGUGCCAGCAGCCGCGGUAAUACGUAGGGUGCAAGCGUUGUCCGGAAUUACUGGGCGUAAAGAGUUCGUAGGCGGUUUGUCGCGUCGUUUGUGAAAACCAGCAGCUCAACUGCUGGCUUGCAGGCGAUACGGGCAGACUUGAGUACUGCAGGGGAGACUGGAAUUCCUGGUGUAGCAGUGAAAUGCGCAGAUAUCAGGAGGAACACCGGUGGCGAAGGCGGGUCUCUGGGCAGUAACUGACGCUGAGGAACGAAAGCGUGGGUAGCGAACAGG
rnacentral:rRNA from 1 species